CUUGACAGAACUUGGCCAGGGUCUUCUAGGUCCAGCACCCACUCUCCUUAGCAUCCAUUCUGAGCACAGACUUCCUGUGGUAGCUGCAGGUGUUAAUGAGAAGGCUUCCUGCCUGCCCCUACUGCUGUAAGUCACUCUCCACCUGUUCCUAUGGCUUAUUUGCGGUAGACACAACAUGGCUUCUUUUGGGCUGACCUUAUCUCAAACAUAUUUGGGCCAAGAUACUAGCGGUCAACAGCACAACUUUUCAGCUCAUCCCAUAACCUGGUGUGUGUGAGUGUGUGAGUGUGUGUGUGUGUGUGUGUGUGUGUGUGUGUAUACAUUCAUAUGCAUGCAUGCUUGUACAAAUCAUUGGUUAGAGUAGGGACUCUCAAACUGCUAAGUGCUGCUAAGACAUUCAUCACCUAGGGAUCUUGUUAAAAAGCAGAUUCUGAUUGAGGGACCAAGAUUCUGCAUUUUUAGCAAGCUCUCAAGUGAUGCUAAUGCUGCCGGUCUGUGGACAACACAUGUAGCCACUGGGGGCUGGAGAUGAUGCUGCAUGUUACUUGUGUGUGUGCUCCAUCUCCCCCAUGCACCCUGCAUUAUCCAUCAUGAGUGAACAUCCCAAGGCCAAUACACUACCUUUUGGUGAUCAAACUGUGGUCAGUUGUGAAAGGCCACCUUUUGUACAAAUGCCAUGUGAUUAUUCUUUCAAAUCAAAUCAUACCUCUGAGGGCUUCUCAGAUAUAAGAGCUACUUCAGGGAGGGUCUGCCCAUGUCAGGCCCCUUUCAGGACUUUUCAGCAGCAGGUCCACAGAGCCUUGAGCGUUAUUGAUGACUGAGGCCAUCUGACUCUGUAACCUUCCAUUUCCAGUCAAUCCUGAGGAGCAGUUCCCGGAACCACAGCUGCUGGGUCAGGAAGAGUCCUGUCUGUUGUGUCUCCACAUUAUCAAAAGAGACUGUGGGCAUGCACCUCUUUGACUAGGGACUCAACUCCUCAUGGGAAACAUCUUCUGGAAGCAAAGAUGACAGUGGGAAAGAGGCCCUGGAUUUCCUGUCAAAACUAUCUGAGGAUAUUUGAGGUCAUCCAUGUUAUGUUUGCUUAUUCAUUAUGAAUAAGACACAGGUAACCUCCUUUUGAAUAUCAAACUCUGCUUUCUUGAAGGGCUUCCCACACAAGCUAUGCGAGACUGUGAGAGUAUCAAGUGAGCCCUGUGCUUUUCUUCGAUGCUGCUUGGAUAUUUGCUGGUGGGAAAGAGCCCCAGGGAAGCUUGGUCCUGCUUGCAGUGAACUCGAUGUGUUUUUCUGAAUACCAGGAUAUACAUGAUGGGUGAGCUGACCCCAGGACUGCAGCCUUCCCCAGCCAGGGCAUGUGGGCCAAAUCCUUUCAGGAUGCCUAGGCAGUGGGGAGAGCCCAUGAGAUGUUUGGAGAAUAGUCACAUCCUUCAUAAAAACUCCCCUGGGGACAGUCAUGUUUUCAGGGUUCUAUCCCUUUCAAGAAUGCCUCAGGGAUUCAGGCUUGUGAAAGACAAGCUAACUUGGCCCUCUUCCUUUUUUCUCACUGAGGUCACUGUCCUUGGCAUCCACUUCCUCCUUUGGUAGUCCAGCAAGGCUCACUCACUGCCCUAAUGGGGCCUCCUGCUCUGCUGUUUGGCUCUGGGAGAGACUGGAUUCCUUCCUUUGCUGGAGAUCACCGAGAUGGUAAGUAUAACCUAGCUUCUUUUGAUUCUGGAAAAAGGAAGUUGCCCAUACCCCCGCUAUAAGGAAAGAUGCUGUUCUCUGGGUCUAUCAUUUUCAGUGAUGAUGGACGUCUGUGAUGGAGGGGAAGCCCAGCUCCUGCCCUCUGGAUGAUUCUUGCCUUUAUGAUGACCAACUCUUGGAUAGAAUAAGUUCAAGAUGGAUGCCGGGUUCAUACAAGAGCCUCAUCAGGCUCAGCCUGAGGUACGUGAGAGUAGAGUCAGCCAAGGUAAAGCCAGGUGCUAGGGAUGAUAGGCUAUCGCACAUAUAUUCCAUGUUUAGGACACUUCUGAGGUCAGGCUGCUUCAGCUUUCAGCCCUGCUCCCUCUCUUUGCACUAAAUAUCCUAUCUAUGUAAGAUGUCCUCAGAAGGAAGCCCAAAGCCCAGGAAGAAAUGAUGAACCAGAGGUCACAGGCUUCUUUGUUCUGGACUCUCAAUACCCAGGCUACCCCAGUAGGGAAUGAGAGCCCUCUGCCAUAUCUUAGCAGGUAUAACCUCAGCUCCAUGCAGGAGACAUAGUCACUUCUCCAGGCGCAAGGAAGAAGGGCCUAUUUCACAGCCUUUGUCUUAACUGGGAUUGCGUCCUAUGUUCCCCAAAGAUGUACCACCAAUACUUGGGAAGCCAACACAGUGUUUGUAUUUAUUUUUUAGACUUUCUACUUGUCAAGAAAAUUUCCUAAAGAGAGGCCUAAAGGAAGUUCCCAAGGGAGGAGCGUUUUCCCUCAUAGGGGAAAGGAGUUUAGUCAGAGAACACACAUUUAAAUGGACGCCAUCUGGAUAUAGUCCCUUCCUCCCACAUGACUUGUAGGGCAACUCCCACAGGCUCUGCAGAGGCAGCAGAGCCCCUUUAAGUGAUACCCUGCCACAUGAAGACAGUCUUUCCCACCCAGGCUACUUCCUUUACUUUUCUUACAUUUAUUGUUUGAGUUAGGUUUUGUUGUUUUGUUUUUUGUUUUUUUUUUUUUUGUUUGUUUGUUUGUUUUUUGUUUUUUGUUUUGUUCUGUUUUUGUUUUUUAAGAGACAUUCUCUCUGGCCUGGGAUUCACUAUAGAACUCAAGCCUUCCGAGCUGAAUGCAUGCCAUCCUCCUGCCUCAGACUUCAGGAAUGGGCUAUGCUAAGCUUAGACUUUGCUUUCUUUCCUUGUAAAAUAUGUUUGUUGUUGUUGUUUUUAUGGAAGUGCAACCUGUGCGUGCAGGAGUCUGCAGAGGUCAGAAGAGGGCAUUCAGUCCUCUGGAACUAGACUUACAGAUGGUUGGGAGCCAGCCUGGUGGGUUCUGGGAACUGAACCCAGUUCUUCUGAAAGAGCACUAACUCCUGAGCCAUCUCUCCAGCCCCUCCACAGCUACUUUCUUGACAUUCUUGAGUUCUACAAAGGAGUAUCGAUCUUGUUGAGGAAGGACUGUGGACCUUUAACCAGCUCAGACACAGUUGUUUACUUAGCUAGAGAGAAAAGCAAGGAGUUAGGUUCUUACUGAAGGUUUGGGAAGCUGCUCUAAGUGAUGCUCUAAACGGCUUGCUGCUAGAAUCUGGAAAUGGUUCCUGGUCUUACCAAGGUUGCUUCUAGGAAGCAGGUAAACCAUUUGUGAUGGUGUCCUUCUUGAAGUUGAUUCCUUAGAGAUAAGACAGUGGUAGAGCACUGGCAGUGGCCAUAGGUGGUCUCCUGGGAUCACGAGAGCCCAGUGAACCUUCUCUUGAUCCACCUGAGGAUGCCAGUAGCCUGGCAGUGGGACUUCUGUGGUCCCCUCAGGAGCUUGAUGUGUCUGGUGGCUGACUAUGUGCACCACUGAGAAGCCCCAGGCCCCGUUCGCACACCCUGGGGUCUAUAUACCUGCAGAGGACUGCUGACCUGCAGCAAGUGGGCUCCCCUUCCCAUCUUGAAUCCUUCCCAGUGUGGACUCCGAAAGCGAGAAACUUUCAGCUUCAGAGAAAGGGGACAAUGUCAGCAUCAUUGAAAAAAAGGUUGGUGUUUGGAAACCAUUCCCUUGGAGAAAUGGAAGGGGCCCUUUGUCUGUCUUGUCUCUGCUUUUCUGUGGUACUUGAAGAGAAGUUGUUCGUGGUGGAUUCGCUUUACUUGUGACGAAUCAUUCACGGACAACACUUUUUUCAGUACCAAAUGCUACCUCUAAGGAUUUCCUGGACAUGAUGGCAACUUGCAGAAAGAUGGCGUUUCAGUCAAGCUUGUAGAGAAGCCAAGUGUGGAUGGUUGACCACAGACAGUGUGCUUGAGCUAGCUGUAAGUCACCUGGUCUGGUUAUCUGAGCAUCUGAUCCAUCUGUAGGCCUCUCAGUGGGCCGUGCCAACCUUGGUGAGGCAGCUGUGGUUUUGCCACCAGCAUCGCCUUACAAGACUUUGAAAAGAGGUCAUCUUCCAGAAGAGAUGUUGGUGCCAGCACCAUUCAGGGUGUGUGACUGGUUGACCAGAGGGGAGUGCACUCUGUUUACCCUGUGGGCCACCUAGUCACCAACCCUCAGCAUCACUUCCACUCAAAGAAGACUCUCCCGAGAUCCUGCCAAGUUUGGGGAAGUGUCAAUGGACUUGAUAGCUGUGCCAGCUCGGUGGACCAGGAUGAACUGUGGUCUUAGGGUUGUGUGUUUACAUAAGAUGCCGUGAGGCAUCCUUAGUAUCCACUACAUCACUAUUACAGCCUACUUGAAGUGUUGACUUCAGAUUUGGACAUGAUGUUGACUUCCCAUGAGGGACCUGAAGUCCCUCCUCUCCUGGGAAAGCCUGGAAGACAAUGUCAACCUUAAAGCAGUCAUAUAGUUGUCCUGCCAUCACCGCAUCACCACAGAAGCUUCCACAGUGUGUUUCCUUCAAGGAAACUGUGGACUAGCGCCCCCUCUCGUCACGGAGGCCUAACUUCCCCUUCAGGACAGAGGAAGCAGGCGCCUUUUCAAGAGUCGAUACGUUCUUCGCCAGCAUUCAUGUGCGGUCCUUGGAGAGAGGCUGGCCGUGAUGAAUUUGAUUCAGCUAAUCAAGUUACAGGCGACUCUCCUCCUUUAGUGUCAAACUCUGCCUCAGAGGGCUUGUGGAAGCCAAGGGCCCUGUCUACUCUCAGAGGCUGCUCCCAAGCUGCCUUGCUGUGAAGAAGAUGCAGGAGCGCUGUGAGAAGUGCCACCUCCUGGUUCUCGGAGGAAGAUUGUCCACGGUUUGUAAGCGAGUGCCAGCUUCUGGGAUGGACAUGGACCCGUCAUCAUUGGGCAGAGGCCCUUGGGAAGGAGAAGAAUCACCAGCAUUCAUUACUGCCUGAUGCUUGCUAAUGGUGUGACCUUGAAUGAGUCAGCCUGUCAUCUGUCUAUGCCUCCGUUUGUCUGUAUGAGAGUGGUGCUGGCUGCUUCUAAGAGAGCUUUCUAGAGAGUGGUAAUGAGCUGGUGACAGUCAUCUGGAGGUUGUGAAUGGGUACCAGUGCCAGACGAUGCACCCUGAGAGCACCCUUCCAUCUUCUUUAUCCUCACGAGACAUUCCAGGUGCCCAAGGUUUCAUGGUGGCUCUCUUCCCAGAAGGAUCUUUACCUCGAAGGACUUGAGAGGCUGCGUCAUUGUCUUGGAGCUGGUCAGUGGCUCGAGCCCGCUAUAGGACAGGUGAUUGAAGGAAAACACUGGACAGGUCUAAGCCUACUUGCUGACUGUUUCUACUGCUAUUCACCAUCAUCACAACGUGCGGUUCUUAGGAGAAUUUCCAGGAGGUGAUACCAGCUCAGGGAAGAGCCUCUGUUCUACAGGACAGCUUCAGGAGAUGAUAGACGUGCCAUUGAUGGACAAGACAACCAACAUUGGGUACUUGAGGAGAGGUUGUCUGUGAUGAGUUCGCUUUAUUAAUGACGAAUAUAACACAGAUGGCCUGUUUUCAAUACCACCUGUCACUCCUGUCACUUGGCGGUACAUACCAGGUGUCACACCACUGCCCGGCAGGUGACACGGAAUUGGUCCUCAGGCGUGGAUGUGCAGGAGGAGCUCCACCUACAUUCCAUCCCAGCUGCUAGUCCUAGGUUGGGACAGUUCCAUUGGGUACAUCCAUGGGAGAGCUAUGGCUGGGAGCAAGGCCUGAGGCCUGACCUGAAGCCAUCGCUAGGCCUGCAGCUGCUCUGUCCAAGUUUGUUGCUUCUUCUCCCUGGAUCUUCCGCUUAAGACAACAAAGAUGUUCAAGCCUAGAAGAUGGCCCCAAAUGCCCAUCUAAGAGGACCAGGACCAUCCAGGACCCAGUGGAAUCCAGCACCCCUGCCACAUCCCGUGCCCUCCCCCUCUGAGGCCCCAACCAGUAUCCCCUGCUUCUUACCCAUUCCCCAGCCCUCCCCCACAAACUUUGCAUUUCAAAUCUCAGCCCCUGAGCAGCCCUUGCAUAGGAACCUGGGGUCGGGUGGGUAGGCAGACCCAGGGGAUGGAGCAUGGAGGGAAGGAGGGAUUUCUGCUCAUGGCUUUCAAAGUCUCAGUGUAUGAAGCCCUUUGAAUAAUAAACAUAUAUCAUAAAAUGUAAA